UACCUUUAACGUCAUGUUGUCUGUCAGUCCCAUUAUAAAAUCUGUGACACUCGUAGGUUGAGUUAGUUUGCAGAUCGAGGAAGAUUCAACAAGAGCGAGCGGCUUUAAUUUCACAGCUCAACUAUAGAAAAACCAUCCAGACAUUUUAUGCGACAGACAUUCAAAAUGCUUCUGAUCAUUCUGAUUCAGCUGUUCCUAAUCGCAUCAGCGAACGCCCAGACAACAACUGUUGCAGCCACCGCAACUACUGUUGCUCCGACCACAACUACUACUGCUGCCACCACCACGACUGCUGCUGCCACCACCACGACUGCUGCUGCCACCACCACGACUGCUGCUGCCACCACCACGACUGCUGCUGCCACCACAACAACAGUAACAACGACAAACGCAACAACGACAACAAACAGCACAACUAGCGCAGCUGCCACCACACAUGCUGGGGUCACGUACAUGGGCAGUCUGGCCUUGUGCCACCUCAGUGUUGUAGUCUUUAAGUAUUUCUGAACUGUCUGACUUUUUGUGUUGCCUUUGUCUCAUUUUAUAGAAUACCGUCAUUGGUUGUCAUGUAGAGGCACCACCUUGUAUCGUUCAUGUUUAAAUAUGUAACCAAAUAAUCACAUCAUGAAGCACACGUGUUGAUGGUUUUCAAGAUCUAGAUGAUACCAAGUGUAAAACUGCUAAUAAAAGUUCGGUAAAUCUCAAA